rnacentral:rRNA from 1 species
UACGUAGGGUGCAAGCGUUGUCCGGAAUUAUUGGGCGUAAAGCGCGUGUAGGCGGCAUGGCAAGUCGGGUGUGAAAGCCCUCAGCUUAACUGAGGAAGUGCGCCCGAAACUGCCGUGCUUGAGUGCCGGAGAGGGUGGCGGAAUUCCCCAAGUAGAGGUGAAAUUCGUAGAUAUGGGGAGGAACACCGGUGGCGAAGGCGGCCACCUGGACGGUAACUGACGCUGAGACGCGAAAGCGUGGGGAGCAAACAGG